AUUGAACGCUGGCGGCAUGCUUUACACAUGCAAGUCGAACGGUAACAGGUUAAGCUGACGAGUGGCGAACGGGUGAGUAAUGCAUCGGAACGUGCCCGAUCGUGGGGGAUAACGCAGCGAAAGCUGCGCUAAUACCGCAUACGAUCUGAGGAUGAAAGCGGGGGACCGUAAGGCCUCGCGCGAUCGGAGCGGCCGAUGUCAGAUUAGGUAGUUGGUGGGGUGAAGGCCCACCAAGCCGACGAUCUGUAGCUGGUCUGAGAGGACGACCAGCCACACUGGGACUGAGACACGGCCCAGACUCCUACGGGAGGCAGCAGUGGGGAAUUUUGGACAAUGGGCGAAAGCCUGAUCCAGCAAUGCCGCGUGCAGGAAGAAGGCCUUCGGGUUGUAAACUGCUUUUGUACGGAGCGAAAAGGUCCUUUCUAAUACAAGGGGCUCAUGACGGUACCGUAAGAAUAAGCACCGGCUAACUACGUGCCAGCAGCCGCGGUAAUAC
rnacentral:rRNA from 1 species